AGGAAGCAGCACAACAGUCUUCAAGUACUGAACAAAAUGAACUAUCAACUGUAGAAUUCGAUAUUCAGUAAAAUCAUCCUUAAGGAAUGAAAGAGAAAUAAAGUUUUUCUUUAUCCACCAUUAGACAAAGGAAACCAAGAGAAUUUGCCAGUAGCAGAUAUACCCUCACUAGCAGAUAUACCCUAAAUGAAUGGCAAAGGAAGUCCUCUAUAACCAGAAGAAAAAGGAUUGAAAAAAGGAGUCUUAGAACACCAGGAAGAAAAGAAGAAUAAUGGAAAAAGCAAAAAUGGCAAGUUGAGCAGUGAAGUGGCAGCCUGCUGUGUUGGGGUGAUGGCCUCACUUUUGUCAUAUUAAUG
rnacentral:lncRNA from 1 species